rnacentral:rRNA from 1 species
ACGCUCGACACCUACUGGAGGCAGCAGUGGGGAAUAUUGCACAAUGGGGGAAACCCUGAUGCAGCGACGCCGCGUGAGCGAAGAAGUAUUUCGGUAUGUAAAGCUCUAUCAGCAGGGAAGAAACUGACGGUACCUGACUAAGAAGCACCGGCUAAAUACGUGCCAGCAGCGACGGUAAUCUGAGGCGGGCGUGGACGAAGGC